UCCCCUCCCCCUCCUGCCCACUCUCCUCCCUUCCUCGCCCCUCCCACGAAAACCCUAGCCGCCACUACCCAUCCCACCCUGCAGCCGCCGCCGACUCCGCUCGCCCUCGCGCCGUCGCGUCGUCUCCUCCAUGCCCCCUUGUGCUCAUCAGGAGGAGCGCGGCUCGCCGCCUUCCCUCGCGCACUGCCGCUACUCUCCCCGUCAAGAUUUCCCCUCACCAUCGUUGUGACGGUCGUCGUGCCAACCGGAGCUCCUCCUGAUCCGCCAACUGGCGCUCUUCCCCGCCGCGGCGACGCUCGUGCCGCUGCUCUCCGUCAAGCUCACCUGUGCAGCGCAUCUGAUGGCCAACACAGCCGUCGUCGUUGCCUGCCCUCCUUGAUGCGACGGCGCGGCCACGCCUCUUCCUCCCUUCUCCUUCGGCGCCUCCUCCCCGUCGGCUCCCUCUGUGGAGUCGUAGGUCACCGCCUCCCGUGCGCGAAGUCUCUUGCAAGCCCCUCGCCUCCUCCUCGACCGGCGGCGGCGCCAACCCUGACGAGGAGCCCAUCCUGCCCCUCCUCCUGGAACUAGCAGAUAGCUUGGUGCUAUGUGAUGCAUCGUUUGGUCCUGCUCCGGUGUUGUUUUGCCUUCUUUUACUCGGCUCACAUAUAAAGCCCCUUCUUCGGACAAGCAAAAGUCGUGGUUGCAAUGGAUACCGGUUAGAUUCUCGACCAAGGUUUGCCUGGGCAUGCGUCCUCCAAUAACAAGAAGAUGUGCCCACCUAUCAAGGUUAGCUGGAAGUUAUCAAUUUGCUUUGUAAAAGGCUUGGGAUUUUCAAAGUUUGUAGGAACCCCUUUUGAACAGACCUACCACCAUACAUGUACUUGAGAAUAGGAAGAACAUAUAUUCCAAAGAAAACUUUCUACAGUUAAAAAAGAUUGCAUGAAACCACAUACACUUGAUUUUUUUUGUCAUGGCCAAAAGAAACAAUGAGAUAAAAAAAGGCUCACAUAAAACAUAUAUCUUCAUAAUAGCUUUGAUGACCAGCACUUAACAGAGCCAUUCCACCCCUAUGCUUUCAUUGACAAGCAGAUUCCUAAAAGUUCUCAUACUUAAUGAGAGGAUGGCCCUGCAUAUGAGAAAUAAACCAAACCAGAGACAAAAUGUGCUUAAGAAUGCAAAUAAAUUUUAUUUCUUUUGAACCAAGGAUGAUGAACUUUUUUGGUAAUCACUUGCAAGACAAAAUAAAAAAACCAUGUCAUCAGAUGAACCUGCUUAUGCAAAAUGCUUUGAGGAUAUUCAUACACAAUCCUUUCUCAGUUUGCUUACAUGACUGGGUUAAUAAAAAGAAGCAUUUAAUAGUAAAGAAAAUAAGCUAUUGCCCAUGUAUAGAUCAAAAGAUUUUAGUCCGUGUUUCUGCAUAAGCCUAAGCCGAAAAUAACUGGCCUUAAGUACGUCCAAUUCGUACGCAGUCCCUACUCAGGAAAUAAAUGUCUUGUGUAUGUGUGUGGACUGAAAUUGUACCUCAUUAUAGUAAUUCAUAAUCAGUUCCAUUUUUUAAUUUGAUGUUGCGAAUAUAUGCUCAUCUUGUGCAGUUUAGCUUUUAGAUAAUAGUUAUUUCCUUUUUUUUGUUGUUCCCACUGAUGGAAGAGGUUCUAAUGAUCUUCCAGUCAGAGGGAAAAUAAACUCACAAACAUAUGAGCCAGGUAACCAUGAACCACUUGCAGCAAAUCUGAUUUAUUGCUCCCUAUUGGGAAUAUUUCUUUUCUCAUGUUAUUUAUUCCUUUGCACUAAAGAACUGCAUUGCUGAAUCCAAAUGUAGCUAAAUCAUGGGAAUAUAAAAUUGCAUUUAUUCAUAUGGGUAUGGAUUUUUAUACUUUGUUGUGAUUUAGAAAGUGUAAUUUCAGUGACAUUCAGUUGUAAAUAGUUAGCCAAAUAACCCACAUACGUCAAGUAUUGUCACUACUAAUUGCAUUAGCUUCGCCUCAGAACUUGGAAAGAGGAAGUAGAGUUAUCAAUAAUGAUCAACUAUGAGGUACCGUAGAUAUCAAUGUUUGUAGAGCAUUGUUUCCAAUUGUCUGUUAACUCAUUGUGUUUAUGAGCAGAUACAUCUCCUGUGACCCUUAUUCUUAUAGUUGCUGAUAUGAACUACUUGGCUAUAUUUAUAGAAUUUAUGACUUUAUGUUUUGUAUACUAUUUGAUGCAAAUCAGUUGUCCUCGGCAAACAUUGUGCCUUGCUUUUGGUACAAAUUGUGUCUUUAUGAUCUGUAGUGAAAUUGCGGUUGUCCUGGGCAACAACUAUACUUUGUUUUUUGUAUAUAUUUAAUCUGUAUGUGAGGCCCUAUACUAAA